rnacentral:rRNA from 1 species
AGAGUUUGAUCCUGGCUCAGGAUGAACGCUAGCUACAGGCUUAACACAUGCAAGUCGAGGGGCAGCAUGGUCUUAGCUUGCUAAGGCCGAUGGCGACCGGCGCACGGGUGAGUAACGCGUAUCCAACCUGCCUUACACUCUUGGACAGCCUUCUGAAAGGGAGAUUAAUACAAGAUGUUAUCAUGAGUAAGCAUUUUCGCAUGAUUAAAGGUUUACCGGUGUAAGAUGGGGAUGCGUUCCAUUAGAUAGUAGGCGGGGUAACGGCCCACCUAGUCUUCGAUGGAUAGGGGUUCUGAGAGGAAGGUCCCCCACAUUGGAACUGAGACACGGUCCAAACUCCUACGGGAGGCAGCAGUGAGGAAUAUUGGUCAAUGGGCGAGAGCCUGAACCAGCCAAGUAGCGUGAAGGAUGACUGCCCUAUGGGUUGUAAACUUCUUUUAUAAAGGAAUAAAGUCGGGUAUGGAUACCCGUUUGCAUGUACUUUAUGAAUAAGGAUCGGCUAACUCCGUGCCAGCAGCCGCGGUAAUACGGAGGAUCCGAGCGUUAUCCGGAUUUAUUGGGUUUAAAGGGAGCGUAGAUGGAUGUUUAAGUCAGUUGUGAAAGUUUGCGGCUCAACCGUAAAAUUGCAGUUGAUACUGGAUAUCUUGAGUGCAGUUGAGGCAGGCGGAAUUCGUGGUGUAGCGGUGAAAUGCUUAGAUAUCACGAAGAACUCCGAUUGCGAAGGCAGCCUGCUAAGCUGCAACUGACAUUGAGGCUCGAAAGUGUGGGUAUCAAACAGGAUUAGAUACCCUGGUAGUCCACACGGUAAACGAUGAAUACUCGCUGUUUGCGAUAUACGGCAAGCGGCCAAGCGAAAGCGUUAAGUAUUCCACCUGGGGAGUACGCCGGCAACGGUGAAACUCAAAGGAAUUGACGGGGGCCCGCACAAGCGGAGGAACAUGUGGUUUAAUUCGAUGAUACGCGAGGAACCUUACCCGGGCUUAAAUUGCAGAUGAAUUACGGUGAAAGCCGUAAGCCGCAAGGCAUCUGUGAAGGUGCUGCAUGGUUGUCGUCAGCUCGUGCCGUGAGGUGUCGGCUUAAGUGCCAUAACGAGCGCAACCCUUGUUGUCAGUUACUAACAGGUUCCGCUGAGGACUCUGACAAGACUGCCAUCGUAAGAUGUGAGGAAGGUGGGGAUGACGUCAAAUCAGCACGGCCCUUACGUCCGGGGCUACACACGUGUUACAAUGGGGGGUACAGAGGGCCGCUACCACGCGAGUGGAUGCCAAUCCCAAAAACCUCUCUCAGUUCGGACUGGAGUCUGCAACCCGACUCCACGAAGCUGGAUUCGCUAGUAAUCGCGCAUCAGCCACGGCGCGGUGAAUACGUUCCCGGGCCUUGUACACACCGCCCGUCAAGCCAUGGGAGCCGGGGGUACCUGAAGUGCGUAACCGCGAGGAGCGCCCUAGGGUAAAACUGGUGACUGGGGCUAAGUCGUAACAAGGUAGCCGUACCGGAAGGUGCGGCUG